UUCCUUACUCAUUUACAGAGAAGGAAUGAAUGAAGGACAAAAAUCAAGGAUUGAAGAUCAUAUGCUCUGCUCACACCUCUGAUUUUCGCUAGGUGGAACCUAUCCGAAGAAAAUUUCGAUGCGUCGCUGGUGGCAAGAACUUAGUCUUCCUCGUUGAAUUCUUAGUUGAAGGAUCUGAAUUUCUGAAUGCAACUGAAGAUGAGAGCUCCUUCACGGUACCUCUUCUUCCGAUUUCCUGUUUUUUUUGCAGCUUCUACGCCUACCUUCCUUACAUCUCCUUCAUAUGCCCUAACCCUCCGCCUCUGUUUACAUUCUACAAAUCCUCAGAAUAUUGAAGAGGCUAUCUCUUCUUUUAAUCACCUGGUUCAUGUGCGCCCCCCCUCUAUAUUCCAAAUCACUAAGAUCUUAGGAUAUGUUGCGAGGUUGAAACAAUAUCCUACAGCUAUCUCCCUUUUUGCACAAGCGGAAUCUAAGGGAUUCACGCCAUCUCUGGUAACGCUGAACAUCUUGAU